rnacentral:lncRNA from 1 species
AAAAUCGUGCUGUAAUUUCAGACGUGCCUUCUCGUGCCCAGAUCUCUGCAAGCUUGAUGUUGAAAUCGGGUGCAGUUUGCUUGAGCCACUAGACGUGUCAUCUCCGAGAAGACCGGCGUUCUCUUGACCAUGGAGGCCUCUCUGUCCUUUCUGUGACUGGAGCAAUGGUGACCUCGGUUUCCUGGACCCAUUCUGACUCAGGUAACCGGGCUUUGUCUUUCCCAGCUGGCUCCCACCUCGUGGAGGUGGCACUGAAUACAUGAAAUCCCAAAGUUACAUUUAAAUGCAAAUUCCAAAUGGAUUGUUUCUCCAUCACUUGAAAGAGGGCCCCCCCCUCCUUCCUCCCAAUCUUCUUCAUAAUCAAUUUAUGCAGCUGGUCGGACUGACGAUGUGGUCCAUCAGCUUAGGCAUUAAGAUAAUGAGCAUGUUGGAGUUCCCAUGUGGCUCAGCAGGUUAAGGCCCUGGUGUUGUCAUUCCUCUAGGGGCUCGAGCUGCUGCAGUGACAUGGGUUUGAGCCCUGGCCCAGGAACUUACACAUGCGGUGGGCCCGGCCAAAAAAAAAAAAAAGAUAAUAAGAAUGUCGAGUCACAUCCGUAUUUAAAAUUAAAAUUUUGGUGUGUGUCAUAGACACACAAAGCGAUGGGAACAUUGCUGGGAAUUUUUGUCUAGACACUGUCAUCUACCGUAUGUUGUUCCUUUAAAUUAUUUUCUUUCCUGCACUACUGUGUUUCACCUGAAUUAUUUUCAUCUUUCUAAUGUUGGGCCUUUUGAGUUUCAUAAGUAUGACUGAGUAUCUAUUAUGUGUUCUUGGGACAGGUGGGGAUAAAAAGCUAUAAGGCAUAUGAAAAUAUGAGAUAUAUCCUUGUGCCACUCAUGCCUUAGCCAAAGGGGCACGACUUACUUGCAGGAAGAUGCCAGGGGUGGUGCUCAGCUUCUGGCUGGGCUGUGCCCUCGUGGUGAAUCGAGAGGCUCUGACGAUUGGGACUGAAAUAAUUAGAGAAGAAUUCACGGAAAAGGGGGACCGCCAAUAGGUUUUGUCACCAUGGACGUUAGGCCCGGAAGACGAGAAUGAGCCAGUCGUGAGUCCAGCCAGCGAGGGCUGCCUGGGCUAGACGGGUCUUGGAGGCCCCCGAGACUUAGUCCCAGCCAGAGCCGGGUGUCCCCGCAGGGCUUGGGGCCUUUACGGUGGCCCUGAGGAAACCCAACCUGCCAGCCUCCUCCAGGGGACCCCAGUCGCUGUUGCCCCAGCCCUGGCUUGGCUGCUGCCUUGCCAACCUUCUGCUUUUUUGGGCUUGUCACACCUGGUUGUUUAUGCUCACACACCUGCGCCGGUCCCCUCCACGUUCUGCCUGGCAGAUGUGGCUUGACAGUGCCCUGGGAUGAAGCAGAUGCUGGUGAGAGCAGUUCCUGGAGAGUCACAAGGUGUGAUUCUGAGCUGAGACGUGGAAUGGAAGGAGAGGAAGCAGAAGCCAGGAACAGGAGUUCGUAGGUUGUUGGCAAGGGUGCACCAGGAGUUCUGGAAGCUGGAGUUCCCAUUGCGGCUCAGUGGGUUAAGAACCUGACACAGUGUCUGUGAGGCCUUGGGUUCGAUCCCUGGCCUUGCUCAGUGGGUUAAGGAUCCAGUGUGGCUGAAAGCUAUGGGUAGGUUACAGAUGCCUCUUGGAUCUGGCAUUGCUGUGACUGUGGCAUAGCCGCAGCUGCAGCUCCAAUUGGACCCCUAGCCUGGGAACCUCCAUAGGCCGUGGGUGUGGCCAUAAAGAGAGAGAGAGAAAAAAAAAAGAGUUCUGAAAGCCAGAAUUCAAGGCUGAAGCUGGGCCAUCUUCAGGGAUGGGAGCCCAGUGGGCUGAUUCAUCCUGCAGUGGCCCAACCAGCCCUGUCCUCACCUCGCUCUCUCAGAUAAAGCAGUGGCCGCUUUUAAUGCUACAAAAGCAUUGAAUCUGAGUAACUGCAUCAGAAACCAGAAAAUAUUUACUUUCUGACCUCUUACAGCAAAAAAAAAAUGUGCCCUGGGUUUUGAGGGUGCUGCCGAGGGUCCCCUCCCGAGGCUCUGUCCGCCAGGCCUGCGUGGCCCCACUCCACCUGCCUAGGGAGCUCCAGUGCUUCUGGAACUGAGAGCCUGGCUGAUCCAGGGGCUUGGACCUUCCUGGCAUCAGAGUCCUGGGUCACCAGGAAGUGGAUGAACCGGAAAAACUGUACCUGUGUUCUCUUCCCAAGAAAGUGAUUGCCUAAUCCAUCGCAGCCCCGCCUCUCCUAAGCCUGGGGUGGGUCCACCAGGGCGUGCCAGGUAGGGCCCGCUGCCUGUGAGCAGUGUAAGCUGAGAUGGUUUUUACAUUUUUAAACGAUUGGAAACAAUUAAAAGAAGACGACUAUAUUCUGCCUUGUAGAAAUUAUAUGGAAUUCAGAGUUCCAUGUCCCCUGAUGAAACUUUACUGGAACACAGAUGUGUUUAUUCCUUUCCGGAUCCUCUAUGGCAGUUCGUUUGUGUGGUUGGUUGGUUGUUUUGGCUGUGCCUGCGGCAUGCCGAAGUUCCCGGGCCAGGCAUCAAACCUGCACCACAGCAGCGUCCUGAGCUGCAGCAGUGACAAUGCCGGAUCCUUAGCCUCUUGAACCACAUAGGACCUCCUUGAGCAGUUUUUAAUGCUACAAAAGCCUUGAAUCUGAAUAAGCGCAUCAGAAACCAGAAAGUAUUUACUUUCUGACCUUUUAUAGCAAAAAAGUGUGCCAUCCUCUGGCUUAGACAAUUGUGUGAUGCAGGUGUUUGCAAAAUUAGAGGAGUAGAACUUUUUCCCUCAUAAAGAAAAUAGGCUUGAAGGAUAAGUAGGAUUUGAAUAAGCAAGAGAGGAAUCUUCUAGAUUGCAAUAGAGCAUGGCUCGUACUGUAGUUGGAUUUUUCUGUUCGUCUAACUUUCAGUUAAAGCCGUAUAUGGCAUUGAGGCUAUUUCAUGUCGGGAACCUGGUCACGAGGGUUGUCUGGAAAAUGAGGCAUUCAGGCUUCUGGGUUCACAAAAACGUUGGAACAAAUCAGCACCAAAUUAAAAUAUACCCUGCCUUGUGGAACUUUUUUCUUUUUACUUGGCACGGGGUGUGAACUGUUUUAUUUUAAACCCAAUAAGCAUUUUGUUCUAAAUAGGGUAAACAUGGCAGAUUCGCCAUAAGUAAGCUGUGGUGUUUCAUCUUGGCAACAUUUCCCCAAAUCCGGUGGGAUUUUAUGAUACUGUUGAGUAAAAAAUGCAGAACGUUGGAAAUGUGGCUUCUGGUUCUACCGACUAUGGGAGCCAGGGCAGGUUGUGUCUACUGGGGUUAAAACCUACACCCCAAGCCUCAGGGCUUAGUGAAAUAAAAAUUUAUUUCUCACCCAGAGUGGCUUUCCUGCCUCCAGCGUUCUGAAGUUUCAAGCCCCUGCCCCCAUCUUGUGACACCUUCCUCUCCAAAUGUGGCUUCCUGGUUGCUUCAAUGUGUGAAAAAAAAAAAGGAGCUGAGAAGGCGACACAGCCAUUCUUAGGUGCCUCAGUCUAGAACUGACUCAGGCCAAUUGCACGUCCACCAUCCAAUGGCCAGAAUAGUCACGUGACCCUGUCUCACUGCCAGGAGGCUGGAAAGUAGGGAUGGUUGGAGUGCCCCCCAACCCCCGCCCCUGUAACACCCGGGCACUGUGGGAAUAAAGCCCAGACUUUAUCUGCGCUUGCAUCUGCUCACCACUGGAGGGUAAUUAACCCAGACAUACAUUUUUUUCACAUGGCUCAUGAAAGGCUCAAAUAAGACACACGAAAGACCUGUAAACGGUACAACAAUGGUGAAAUAUGUAAGGUGUCAUCGUCCCCUAAUUUCUUUAUCAGGUCUCGAAUGCUGGAGGGCUGGAGUCAGGGUGGUCCCACACACCCUGUAUGCCCGGGACCAUCCUAGCCUUUGCCAGUUGACCCGACGUAAUUAUUGUACAGCCCUUCCUUUCACGUGGUCUGCUCACCCUCGCCUGACCCCCCCCUCCCCGGUCAUCCCUGAAGACUCAUGUGAGCCACUGUACAUUGAGCUGCUUCUAAGGGUCACACCAUUCUAAGAUUUUGCCCGCCUUGGUUCAUUGGAUCCCCCAAACAAACUAGCGAAAUAGAUAGAAGUAAUCUCACUUUAAGAUGAGGUGACAGAUGCCGAAAGGUUUGCAUUGAUCGCAGAGCUAGCGAGUGGCACCGCUUGGCUUUGAAUCCAGGUCUGUCUUGUUCUUAAGCAGAUUCCAUGGGAUCGCUUCACUCAUCUUAGGACGAUUGUGCCCUUGACCAUACGGGGCCCCACUCCCCUGACACUGGCUUAGGACUCUGUUCCCAGACCACGCACUGGGAGAGGGUGACAGCCCUGUGUGUGAGUGUGAGUCCAGUCCUUCUUGACCCUGAUGAGGAGACAAGCCGUGGAAUCACACAGUGGUUCUCCAGAGCCAGCAGGUAGCAGGACCAAGGCUGGAAGCAUGGCUCCUGACUACCAGUUGGUCCCUUAAUUUUCUUUUCUUUCUCUUUUGUCUUUUUAGGGCCACACUGGCCGCAUAUGGAGGUUCCUAGGCUAGGGGUCAAAUGGGAGCUGCAGCUGGCAGCCUAUGCCAUAGGCACAGCAAUGCUAGAUCCGAGCCACGUCUGUGACCUACACCACAGCUCACAGCAAUGCUGGGUCCUUAACCCACUGAGCGAGGCCAAGGAUUGAACUCAUGUCCUUAUGGACACUAGUCAAGUUUGUUACUGCUGAGCCAAAACAGGAACUCCCCACCUCGUCUCUUUCCACCCCUCUUCCCUGAUGUUGACAACGGCAGCUUGUUUGAAAAGUAAAAACAGCAUUUUACACACAGGGAGAAAAGAUUUUAUUUUGAAAACCUAGGGUAGAGGAGAACUCCAGCCAGUGAGGACUUGCCAUGUGCUGUGUCGUUGAUCCAAACAGACAUCUUCCCAGUAUAAACAGCGAGUAGAAACUGAGUUCUAUGUUCAAGGAGCUUGUUGACAGAUUUCUUUAUUAAAAAAAAAAAAAAAGCCAAACCACAACCAAAGACCAGUUUGCUUGUAGACUAAUAUGUCAAAAACCCAUCUACUCAUGAGAUGGUAUUAAUUUCCCUAGUUCCUGGUCUUCCUAAUCACUGUUCCAAACUGACCCUGGGGAAUCAAAGAGAACAGUCUCUGAAAGAUGGAGCAAGGGUGGCAGAGUCCUCUAUUGCAUGGCUUGCUUCGAGAAACCCCCCCAGAAAAUUAUACAUGUGCUUCCUAAAUGUACAAAGACAACUAAAGGAAGUCCAUUAUGAAAGAAAAAUUAGAUGGAAAUUUCUAAUGCCAUCUCAUAAACAAUAUAGGAAUAACUUUAAAAUAUUCUGCUUUAAGCAUGCAUUUAAUUUGUGCUCUGGGAACCAAAUAAUGUUGCUAAGAUAAAACAGUCUAAUAAUGAUUUAUGUAAAUUUAUUUGUACAAAGUAAUGGUGUAGUUGCCUAUAGCAAAUUGCUUGGAAUAUGAAAUGACAUUUAUGAGGUCUUUUUUUUUUUCCCCUCCUCUGAAUGA